CGCUGCUUUCUGCUAAAUCUGAAUCAAGCCAGCAAUUUGCUGGAUCUUUCAAAAAAAAAAAAAUCUUAUCUAGCAGAUCUUUAUGCCCUUAACAAGCCAAGCAACAACACAGUAGGACAACCAAUGGCCCGACCUACACAUUGGAUUCAGCCGCUUGACAUGUUUCUUAAUAUCAAUGUUGAUGCCGCCGUCACACGUAACAGGGGCCGAGGAGUUGCAGCAGCUAUUUGCCGCAAUCAAGGAGUCUUCCAAGGGGCAUCGGCCAUUGUUUUCAAGGGUAUAGCUGACCCUCCGACAGUUGAAGCCUUGGCGAUCCGGGAGGCACUAGCACUCGUCGAAGACCUCAAUCUUCAAAGCAUUCAUGUUGCUUCUGACUGCAAGGUUGUGGUGGAUAAUAUCAAGCAGCGGCACUUGACUAGUUAUGGAGCAAUAUUACAUGAAAUCACAGAUCAUAGUCACUCUUUCUUGAGAUGUAAUUUUGUUCACGAGUAUAGGAGUUCGAAUUUCGAGGCUUAUAAUUUAACGAAGCAUGUUUUAAGUUUGGUGGUGUGCCGCCGUGUUUGAUUAGGACACCCUGGUGAUCUUUUUUUCGUGCCUGUAAACUUUGGUUCGAGUUAAAUAAAGCUUUACGGGAUUGUCUAAAAAGAAGUCUUCUAAAAAAAUUAAGACUUUUGAUUUUUAUUUGUCUCCCUAUUUGAGGCUAUGUGUGUCAAAUUACCGGACAACCGUACAGAGCGUCAGCGACGGGGCGUACCCAUUUUCACGCUCACUGGAGCAAUUUUCUUGCAGCACAGCUUUUGUUUUGUUAGCCUUUUUUCUCCGAGAAAACAAUCACAAAAUUUCAUUACGGAUAUAAGAAAACAAUGUAAUGCAAUAUUAAAAUAAUGUUCAUAAAUUUAUAAAUUGUACUGGGUUCCUGAAAAAAACACAUCAUUUAGAAACAUUUAAAUUUUUCCAAAAAAUAAACAAAAAGUUUUUGCAUUUAGAAAUAUUCAAAGUUGUAAAGUAGAAGGUUUUAAUUUGUUUUGGCUAGUCAAAUGCUGGGGGUGCUGAAUAGGUAUUUGACUACUCAAAACAAGUCGAAACAGCUUUGAAAUCGAUUUGGGGUUGAUUCUUGCCCGGUUUUGAAAGUUCGAGGUUGUAAAGUAUUUAGUAAACGAUUUUAGAGCUCGGGGCUGGAUGUUGACUAGGCAUUUGACUAGUCAAAACCAGUCAAAACAGGUUUAAACCGGUUUAGAGUUGAUUCUUGUCCGGUUUUGGAAGUUCGAGGUUGUAACGUAUAUGGUUUUGACGUCGAGGUUGUAUCUUAAACUUUGGUAGUAAUUUAAGUUUGUAAUACGAACCCUUCUCUUUUUUUUAGCCUGAUGGUGUUAUGUAUUUGGGGGAUUUGAUAUUUUGCCACCACUUACUUUGUAAUUGAUUUUUUGCCACCACUUACUUUGCACUUUGAUCUUUUGCCACUUUAUAACACAAAAACAAUCUUUGUAAAUGAUGGAUGAAAUACAUGCACAAAUCAGAGGACAAUUGUACCCUUAUGCCUGUUUGACUGAAACAGGUCAGCCUGAACACAAAUGGGCACGAGCAGCAGCAGCCACGGCCAAACACGGGCACGAGCAGCAGCAGAGGCCACGCACGGCCACGAGCAGCAGCAGCUGCUCUGCUGCCCCUCCACCCCUGCUGCUCCCCGGCGGCCCUAAUGCCACGCACCGCAUGAGCGGCGGCGGCGGCAUCCACGCACGGCCACGAGCAGCAGCGGUGGCGGCGCCGCACGGCCACGCGGUGGCCGGCGGCAGAGCACAAGUGGGUGGAGCGGCGGCCAUGCAUGGCAUGAGCAGCAGCGGCGGCGGCCUCGCACGACAACGAGCAGCAGAUGCGGCGGCGGCGCACAGGCACGCGGUGGCCGGCGGCGGAGCACAAGUGCGUGGAGCGGUGGCCACGCACUGCACGAGCAGCGGCGGCGGCGGCCUCGCACGGCUACGAGCAGCAGAUACGGCUGCGGCGCACGGGCACGCGGUGGCCGGUGGCGGAGCAAGAGCGUGAGGAGCGGCGGCGGCGACUCGUAACCCUAACCCUAGGCUGCCGGGGGCCGGGGCGGGAGAGAGACGACUCACCUUGGACCACCGGGAGCUCCGGGGAGUUGGCCGCCGCCCCGCCGUCUCUCUGUGAAAGCUGC
rnacentral:lncRNA from 1 species